GACGAACGCUGGCGGCGUGCUUAACACAUGCAAGUCGAGCGGACGGGCCCUGCUCUUGUUGGGUGCUCGAGUGGCGAACGGGUGAGUAACACGUGAGUAACCUGCCCUUGACUGUGGGAUAACUUCACGAAACUCGGGCUCUUACCGCAUAGGAGCUUCUGCUGCGUGGGGGUGGUUGGAAAGUUUCGGCGGUUGUGGCUGGACUCGCUGCUUAUCCGCUUGUUGGUCGGGUAGGUGCUGACCAGGGCUUUGACGGGUAGCCGGCCUGGGAGCUUGGCCGGCCACCAUGCGACUGCGAUACGGACCAGAAUGCUACGGGCCGCAGUAGGCGGGAAUCUUGCGCAAUGGGCGGAAGCGUGAUGCAGCAACCCCGCGAUCGGGAUGACGGCUUAUGGGUUGUAAACAGAUUUCGCAUGUACCGAAGCGAGAGUGACGGUAAUGGGUAAAGAAGCACCGGCUAACUACGUG
rnacentral:rRNA from 1 species